GGGGAUGUGGCUCAGUGGUAGAGUUCUUGCCUUACAUGCACAAUGCCCUGGGUUCAAUCCCCAGCACCA
rnacentral:tRNA from 1 species